GACGAACGCUGGCGGCGUGCUUAACACAUGCAAGUCGAACGAAGUGGCGAACGGGUGAGUAAUGCCUAGGAAUCUGCCUGGUAGUGGGGGAUAACGUCCGGAAACGGGCGCUAAUACCGCAUACUAUCAGAUGAGCCUAGGUCGGAUUAGCUAGUUGGUGGGGUAAAGGCCUACCAAGGCGACGAUCCGUAACUGGUCUGAGAGGAUGAUAAGUCACACUGGAACUGAGACACGGGCCAGACUCCUACGGGAGGCAGCAGUGGGGAAUCUUCCGCAAUGGGCGAAAGUCUGACGGAGCAACGCCGCGUGAGUGAUGACGGCCUUCGGGUUGGAAAGCUCUGUUAAUCGGGACGCAGUACCGGAAUAGAAAGCCACGGCUAACUACGUGCCAGCCGCCGCGGUAAUAC
rnacentral:rRNA from 1 species